rnacentral:rRNA from 1 species
GACAGAGGCCUCAAGCGUUAGGCGGAAUCACUGGGCUUAAAGCGUGUGUAGGCGGAUCGUUAAGUACCUUGUGAAAUCCCACGGCUCACCCGUGGAACUGCUGGGUAUACUGGCGGUCUUGGGCCAACUAGGGGCAGCUGGAACAAGCGGUGGAGCGGUGAAAUGCGUAGAUAUCGCUUGGAACGCCGAAGGUGAAAACAGGCUGCUGGGGUUGUGCCGACGCUGGAGACACGAAAGCCAGGGGAGCAAACGGG